AGUGAACGCUGGCGGUAGGCCUAACACAUGCAAGUCGAACGGCAGCACAGUAAGAGCUUGCUCUUACGGGUGGCGAGUGGCGGACGGGUGAGGAAUACAUCGGAAUCUACUUUUUCGUGGGGGAUAACGUAGGGAAACUUACGCUAAUACCGCAUACGACCUACGGGUGAAAGCAGGGGAUCUUCGGACCUUGCGCGAGUGAAUGAGCCGAUGUCGGAUUAGCUAGUUGGCGGGGUAAAGGCCCACCAAGGCGACGAUCCGUAGCUGGUCUGAGAGGAUGAUCAGCCACACUGGAACUGAGACAAGGUCCAGACUCCUACGGGAGGCAGCAGUGGGGAAUAUUGGACAAUGGGCGCAAGCCUGAUCCAGCCAAACCGCGUGAGUGAAGAAGGCCUUCGGGUUGUAAAGCCCUUUUGUUGGGAAAGAAAAGCAGCAGGUUAAUACCCAGCUGUUCUGACGGUACCCAAAGAAUAAGCACCGGCUAACUUCGUG
rnacentral:rRNA from 1 species